UCUCUUGGCUGAUAGGCAUUAUAGAACUACCUACCCCUCUCUCGCACUAGGAAAAAAAAAUGGACACACUCCCCACUAGGCUGACAACUCUCUUCCAUCUGACCUUAUAUGAGUGUAAUGGAGUGAUAAGCUAAAGUUUGAAGGGCCGGUGUGGCCACUUCUAGAGCACCCAAGGCAGAUGUCUAAUAUGCUUACUUAACUGCUGCCUUCAGAACAGAGAGGGACUUACUUCACAUUGUCUGUAAUUUUAGUCAAAGUCCUCAGAGAACAGUAAACAUUCCAUUUUACAUCUGAGCUCAGAUGUAAAUUUCAUAUCAUGGUGCCUAGCACAUUAUGGGUCUCAGAACUGUUAGUUGGUAAUUAUUAUCACAAUUUUUAUCUUCAUUCAUUCAUUCAUUCAUUCAUUCAUUCAUUUUUACUUGCAAAGGCUCAAUUGAGAAAUCCUGUAAUGCAACUACUUAUAUAACUUUUUAAGGGGGAUAUUGAAAUCUAAUGCUCAUAUUCUGGCAUUUUUCAAAUGAGCAAGAAAGCUAAAAGAGGGAAAAAAGAAGUAAAUCUAAAUUUUAAGAACUGCUUGGGGAAAUGGAGAAAAGUAACACCUUUCCACAUUGAAAUAUUUUUUCUUCAGUACAGAGGACUGUGGGCCUCAUUUACACUUGCCUUUUCCAGAAGCUAACUUGUAGCUCAGCUCACCUGCUUUUAGGAACAGGUUGAUUCAUUUUUACCUUAGCAUCCAGCUAGUACAUUUGAAAUUGCUGAUGAAAGGUACUGUCAAAUCCCUGGUCUAUUUUGAUAAUGACUUGCACUUGUAAGGCAAUCUGCCCAUUAGUGUAGGGAAGGAGAAUUGGGACAGCACCUCACAAAACGAUCUUUGAAGCCAGCACGGAGCCCCAGAGUCUGCUGGGUAAGAAUUUAUAUUCCUAUAGCAUUUUGACUCAGCACGCAAAUGUGGGAUGUAUGGGGGUGUUUGCAUUCAGUGCCAGAUUGUUUGCCUACGCCAGAGGCUGUCCUAAGAGAUUUGUUGUAUCUGCCUUUGCUUACAGAUUGGAAUUUAGGGGCCUUUAUUUAAAUGGUACCAGAAAUGAGUCGUCAGUGACCUAUUCUUCAUGAUCUCAUAUAAGCAGCUGCUGGGAGAGACAUUUCAUCCCACAAGCCAUGACUUCAUCAACUAUUUUUUUAUAAUGUUAGCUCACUAGAUCAUGCCUCUGGCCAAUUUUCAGGUGGUUUACAGCCCAUCUGGAGAGAAAAAAACUCAGUGGCAUGAGAGUUAAUCAAGUUCUUUCUACAUGUCAAGCAUUUAAAAAAUCUUUUGUGCACUUAAACAGAACUGUAUAUUUGUUGAUAAAAGUAUCUGAACACUGAGGCACCAGCUUGGAAAGACAGAGCUGUUGAGCACAGUAUCCCCAGAGCUUUCAAGCUGGAGGUGGAAUUGAGUAGGCAGAUAUUGAAAGAAAACACGGAAAACUGACAGAGUUCUUACCAGAAGAACAUCUUGGUGAUCAUUCUCUUGAGUAAUGAGUUAAUUCUCCUUAUAUUCCUAGAGUCAAAACACUAACCAGUACAAUAAAUUCAAUUUUUGAGAAAUUAAGGACUAAGAAGGUGUGUUAUCUUUGUUUCUGAUAGUUUGCUAUCUCGAUCAGUGUCAUAAUUAGGCAAUGUUAAGGCAUGGUGAAAAUCAUUACCACCAUAACCAUUACCAUUAAUUGGCAUCAUGACACCAUCAAUGACACCAUCAAUGACACCAUCAUCUUCACCAUUCAUAACAGGCUUCCUAACUGUAGUUGCAACUGUAGUUGCCAGAAUCUUUACAGGUCCUAAUUUUUUCACAAGCCUCAUUAGGAGAAAAAUUUUAAUUAUUAUUUCCAUUUAACAAACAUGGAAAGGAGGCUUAGGUAACUCAUGCAAAGUCACGUUUCCUUAUAGAGGAGAAAAGCUGGGGGUUUUCCACUUUGUGGAGGAGAAAAUAUGGGAUUUUACCAAGGUUUACUUUUCUGAUUUUUAGUUUUCCUUUUUAUUCUGCAUUUUAGUCUUUUUCACUAGCCUUAAUCUAGAACCCUGGUCCAUAUUCCAGGGAAGGAUAUUUCUCAUAGCCAUAAAUUAAACUAGCCAUCUGUACUUUUGGUGUUUUAGUGUAGAUAAUGCCUUCAGGGAACAGUGUGUAUGUCUCAGUGUUGUCCUGUGCAUUUUAGGUUAUUAGCAGCAUCCCUGGCUUCUACCCACUAGAUGCCAGUAGUACCUCCCCAGUCAUGGCAAUCACAAAUGUCUCCAGACAUUGCCAAGUGUCCCUGAGGAGGCAAAAUCAUCCUG